ACAUUAUACGAACUAAAUAGGUCCCGUGCACGUCGCUAGCCGGACCACGUCGAUAACAUUUUCCGUUUUUUUUUAUCGAAUUCCCAAAUUUUUUGAUUUACUUAUGAAUUGAUCGUAUGCGUUAUUGAAUUUCUCGUAAUGUUCAUUUAUGACAUUGCUACUUUUUUUCGAAAAUUAUUCGUAAAUUAGAAUUUACACGGUAACUGCAAGGCUUUGUUAUAAUGAUGUUUUCGGAUUGAAAACGUUCCGCGACACGCUUUGCCGUUGGCAACUUCCAUGGUGAUUUCCACAAGAUACCACCCCAUGUUCCAAAUACAUGAAAUACCGGGUCCCCAAUAGAUUAACUGUAGUGUUGCUAUCGUCUAUCGUUAUCCUUAUCCCCUCACCUCUUCUAGUAGUGGGUAGUGGAAACUGUUUGGGUUGUGAAAAAAAAAACGCUAUAUUUGAACAUAAAGUUUUUUUUUAUUAGCGUGUUCUUCGUUUUCACAAUGGCCACUUUUGCGGGAUGGGAAUGGCAUCUAAAAGGAAAAAAAACAAUGAGUAGUGAAGGUCCAGUUAAGAUUGUAGGAAUUAACCAUGGAGUAUGUCUGCAUCAUUUCUUGUUGAUGGAUGGAUGGAAGGAAAAAAGAACAAUUCACUGAUGUUACAUUUUUUGCCAGUCUCCAGAUGACAAUAAUGAACAACACAGCUUACAAAACAAGCUCCGUGCUAACAGAAGUAUGAUUGGAUGAGGUGUUCUUGCUGCUACCAGCCGGUUCUUUUCCAUCCUGUUACCUGAUUGUGAGUUAGACCUAGAUGUCUGCAUCUCAAUUGAUCUGAGCUUUGAAGAACUGUUUUGUGUUCUUGAGUACAUCUAUUCUGGGAAGCUGCUGUGUUCAGUCAAAAGCAAAGACAGAAUUUUAAGUAUUCUAAAAGAAUUUGAUAUUUUCGUGCCUGAUCAUCUACAGA